UUGGCCUCAAAUCGGGUGAGACUACCCGCUGAACUUAAGCA
rnacentral:rRNA from 1 species